UCUCUGUUAGUAUAUCGGUUAGUACACGUGCUUGUCAUGUUCCGGGAGUAAUCCUGAUAGUUGAACGCGCGAAAACGGGGUUCAAUUCCCCGACAGAGAG